CAGCAAAUCCCACACAGCCAAGAUUUUCAUUUUCUUAUAUAUAUAUCGAAAUGGUAGGAAAUGCCGGCGGCCUUCCUAUGCUGACAAGAUGAGAAGCGUGUGUUGUGAUGGAAGCCUCAAGAGGCCCGUGUGGAAGUUCUAGCUGCCCUGAGAGUGCCAGGGCAAGCCCUUUAACCUCAGGGGCAGCCUUGGUUUCCUUCUAGAUAAAAUAGAAAAGGGUUCAACAAGGUGAGCUCCCCUCUUCACAAUCCAGACAUUGUAUAUAAUGUCUUUCAUCAAAACUGGGACAUUGUGAACCCUAAGAUGCAGCUGGAUCUCAGGGAGGUUAAAUGGGUUUCCUCCCCUAGCCCCACCCCUCCAAAAAAGUACGCUUCUCCAAAGCGAGAAUAGUCACGAUCCACCCAGGAUCCUCAGGUAAAGAAAAGCUGUUAGGCCGUGAGCAGAGGGGCGUCCUCCACCCCUGCUCUUCUUCAAGUGGGGCUGAGUUUUGGUGAGAGAUGCUGACAUCCUCAGCCUUUUGGGAGGCCACCCACACAGCAGGUUUCUAGUUAAGGAGGAUCCCCAUUAGAACCAGAGACCAUCUACCCCUGAGGCAAAGCUAAAAAGAACUGCUAGCUAGUCUGGCUCUGGCCAUCUCAGCAUUUCCAGGGUGGCAGGAAAAGCCAUUGUUCCAUAAUUGGAACAAUGGGAGCCCCUGGGGAUUUAGAGGGAAAACACUGGUCUAGGGGGACAGUGGCUGUGCCUUUGGGAGCCAUUCCUGUAUCAUCCAUCCGCCUCCUGUGUUUCUAUUUCCUGUCCUGGAAUAAGAGUGGAAUGGAAACCUUGGGGCAGACCCACAACAGGGAAAGCGGCAGGGGACGAGGGCCGGCAGCAGGCAAUUCUCAAAUUACCCUGCAUGUGGUGUUUGCUUUUUCUUUCCUGAGAAGUCAGGUGUUUAAAGCAAAGGCAAGUCUGGCCACUUGAAAGAAAGUUAUACAGGAUUUUACAGACCGUACAAUAGUAACAACCAGUAUUUUUAUUAGCUGGUCCCUGAGCUUAACACUUUAGAUGUACCUACAUAGAUCUCUCAUCUCUUUAGUGGCUGGAAAAUGCUGACACCACAGGCCUGGGAUCCUAUCCAAUUUCUUCUGGAGCUUAGCCCCACACCCUGAAACCACAUUUCUUUCCUUUUUUUGAAUCUUCUCUUUAGACUCAAGAGGAAGACACCAAAGGCCUUCAGAAACCCCAAAGGUUAACAUGACCUCGCCUGGCUUCUCUCAGUGCAGAAGCGCUACUAAGAAGAAACGCUGGGGGGUUCCCCAGAUGAACCCAGGAGACACAUCAGGGCCUCCCCGGUCCUUGCUUGGCCAAAGAAGCCGUCAAGCAUCCUGAGGCUCGUUUGCUCUUGUCAGCUUAUUUGCUGGAAGGAAGCCCAUUUACUCUUGGAUGGAAACUCAAGUUGGCAAGCAACAGAGGCUCUCUAAAGCUAGAAGCCUCUGCCAACUCCCUGAUCCGCAAAAGAACCAACCAGCGUGGCUGAGUAGGGAGAGGGGAAGUCACGGUGCUGUGCGGGGACCAGAGCCAAGAUGCCACUUCCACGCCAUGUACCUGGUCGUAAGCCGGCCUGUAACUGAUGUUGAGCACUGGUUUCCCACUUUGACUGAUGAGGGCUCUCUCGGUUUCAACCUUCUCUUGUGAAAUGGGUUUUACAUCCACACAACACUCAGGAUAUUCUGAGUGGAAAGUCUCAUAUCCCCCUACAAGAAAAAAGCAAGAGAGAUGUAAGCAUUGAUUUUUCUCAGGCUGUCAGAAAAUGCCAAGAAUUGAUCAAUACCCUGAGUGUGGAACAGUCAAAAAUAUUAAGCUACUAUAGAUUCUGGUCAUCUAAAACAAUUGAACCAAAACAAGUAAUAGUUUUAGAAUAGAAAUGGGACACACACACACACACACACACACAAAAGCUAUAGUUCAGAGAGGCAAUGAUUAACUUUUGGUGUCUAUCAGAAGCAGCUUAAACUGUGAAAGGGAAUAUAUCUGGCACCUGACAAAUAUUAAGCAAAUCUCUCCAGAAAAGGAUAGCUACUUUCUCUCUUGUCUAUCUAAAAUGCAGGUGUGAUUAUGCAGAAUUUCAUUAAUUCGUGAAACAGACUCCUAAACUGGUCUGUUUUGCCCUUAGCCCAUGAGCUCUAAACUGGAUUAUAAAUCCCCUCUAUUCAUAUGGGAAUGGGAGCUAACAUGAGGUUUAAACUCAGGGCAAUAAAACAGCCCUGCCCUUUCUCUCUCUCCCAAGGUGCUAAGAACACUGCUGACAAUCUUCUCUAUAGGCCCAAUUUAGAGUAAUCAAUCUAGUUAAUAACCUUCCAAACCAAACUGGAGGAAUGAGGCCUCUGGAACUUAAUUCUCACUCCCUUAAAUAAAAACUCUCUCUCCCCUUGAUGACCACCUACUCCCCAUUUCUAUCUCCUUAUUACCCUCCCCUGGUGAACUUUCCCCCCCAACCACACACAUGCCCUCAAAUCAGUAAGUCAACUACUGGCAGGUAUGAUUCUGUAAAAAUCUUUGCUAUAUUUAAACUUCUCCAAAUGGAUCAUGUAAGGUAAAAACUGCUCUCUGACCAAGUCACAGAAACUUGAGUGUAUUAAUAACCCUUCUCAGGUCCAUACAUGUGGUGGGGAAGAAUCAAAAGAAAAACUGGCCUCAAAACCUCAGAAUGCCAGGUGCCACUGGGGAACAGGCCAGCCUUGCCUGGGGGAACCCUUUGCUUCCAAUCCAAAAGGACCUAAGGCACUUCCUAGAGCCUCCAGAAAACCCAGUUCUUUUUCUGGCCCAGAGAAUUCACUUGGGUCAAAUCAUCAAUUAAAUAAGCAUUCUGAGACCAUGUGGUUUUUCAAAGAGGUCACCCUUUUAACUUGGUCUUUGGUAUUGUGAUACCUCACAAUGGACCACAUGGUGGCUAUUUAAACCCCUGCAGGAGACAAAUGGUUAAUGGAUUACAUGGCAGCCUCCAGCUCCCUCCCAGAAGCUGCAGCCAAUUCCUAGAAUGAGUCAUCUUGCCAUUACUGCUUCCUCUCAGCUUGCUGGAACUGCCUCCGCCCCCACUUAGCACAACCAAAUCUCCCCUGUGGUCACUUCGACAAACAGCCCAUUGCCCGCCCCCCUCCCCAAGCUUCUGGACCUCCACAGUGACCAAGUUCCUAGUCACAAUGACAGGCGGUGAGGUAGAAUGUGUGGAGGUGUCUGUGGCUUAGUUUCCCCUCCCCCCAUAGCCCUAGGCCCCCUUCCUUCCUAGGAAGCAGACAGAAUGCCAGACUUAAACUGACCCACAGCUUCCUUGGAAGAGGUGAGAGGUGUCCUCAAUCAGUAGAUCACUUCCUGUGCUUGGGCCUCAACAUCCUGAGUUGCAGGAGACAAACUGAGUGUCAGGGGAUGGGAAUCUGAAGCAAGAGUGGCCCAGUCCCCAGUCCUCUCAAACUUUAGAAUGAGGCUUGGAAAAGAGAAGCCUGAAGGCCACCCCAUCUCUUGGCUUUAAAUAGAGUGCUUAAGAGCCGACUCCCAGGAGGACAGACAGGAGGAGCGGGUGUGGGCUGGGUCCUGCCUGCCUGUUGACAAAAUAAGGCAGGCAGACAAAGAGUCUUAGUGUCGUUGAGGAACAGAUAAACAGUGCCCUGCCUCUUCAAGUUGGGGUCAGGACAAGUCCUUCAGAUUAGAUGGUCUCUGUCUUUCACCCACUCCCAUCUGAGGGGUGGAGAGGCGAAACAUUCCUCUCUGGUGCCUCACUUGAGUUGCAAGAGCCAUGGCAAUUCUUCUGACUGCUUCAACGCUCUUUUGAGUGAUUCUGCUUUCGAUCAGCACCACACUGCCAGAGGAGCAGACAAAGUGCAAGGACACUAUAUAAAUACCCACUGACAAUUCCAUUCAGUUAUCGUCUCGUUUUAGUGGGUUUUUUAGGGGGUGGGGGAAACAUUGAGGGAAGUGUAAAAGGCACUGUUCCCACGAUCUGAGAUGCCACCAGAUUAAAAACCUGAACUUUUAUCUGGA